UAGAAUGUAGCCAGGCAAGGCCUACCAGUACGGGGGUGUGGUUGGCUAAUUAGUCCAAGACUUUUUAAGCAGGCACUGGGCAAGAGGCCUUGAAAUGUGGGCCUUGUUUUGAAAGCACAUGGGAUGGUGCUGCUUUGUUUGGCUAUGUGGUGAAUUUGCCCCAGAUGAGAUGCAGAUGAAUUGAGUAAUGCUAACUGGGUGUUUUUGACACUCUGAUCUGGAUAAAUGUUCAAAAAACCAACUGAUUGUUAU